rnacentral:misc_RNA from 1 species
CCGAGUUUACAACUCCCAGACCCAUGUGAACAUACCUAUCGUUGCUUCGGCGGAUCGCCCCGGGCGCCUUGCGUGCCCCGGAUCCAGGCGACCGCCGGGGGACCUUAACUCUUGUUUCUACUGAGAAUCUUCUGAGUCGUUUUUACAAAUAAAUAA